CCUACGGGAGGCAGCAGUAGGGAAUCUUCCACAAUGGGCGAAAGCCUGAUGGAGCAACGCCGCGUGGGUGAAGAAGGUCUUCGGAUCGUAAAACCCUGUUGUUAGAGAAGAAAGUGCGUGAGAGUAACUGUUCACGUUUCGACGGUAUCUAACCAGAAAGCCACGGCUAACUACGUGCCAGCAGCCGCGGUAAUACGUAGGUGGCAAGCGUUAUCCGGAUUUAUUGGGCUUAAAGGGAACGCAGGCGGUCUUUUAAGUCUGAUGUGAAAGCCUUCGGCUUAACCGGAGUAGUGCAUUGGAAACGGGGAGACGUGAGUGCAGAAGAGGAGAGUGGAACUCCAUGUGUAGCGGUGAAAUGCGUAGAUAUAGGGAAGAACACCAGUGGCGAAAGCGGCUCUCUGGUCUGUAACUGACGCUGAGGUUCGAAAGCGUGGGUAGCAAACAGGAUUAGAUACCCUUGUAGUC
rnacentral:rRNA from 1 species